rnacentral:rRNA from 1 species
UACGUAGGCAGCGAGCGUUGUUCGGAAUUACUGGGCGUAAAGCGUGCGUAGUCGGUAUUGAGAGUCGCGGGUGAAAUCCCAGGGCUUAACCCUGGAGCUGCCUGCGAGACCUCAGUACUAGAGUGUGAGAGGGGAUAGUGGAAUACCAAGUGUAGCGGUGAAAUGCGUAGAGAUUUGGUGGAACACCGGUGGCGAAGGCGGCUAUCUGGCUCACAACUGACGAUCAGGCACGAAAGCGUGGGGAGCAAACAGG